AACGCACAUUGCGCCCGGUGGUAAUCCGCCGGGCAUGCCUGUUCGAGCGUCAUUUCUCCCCUCAGGCUUCGCCGCUCUCGGGCGGCUGGGGUUCUGGUUUUGGGGCAUGCGGCUCUCUGCGCUGCAGCUCCCAAUUGUAUCGGCGUACGCGGCGUGCCGCCCCUUGCGUAGUGGUUUAACUCUCGCACCGGGCCGCGCCGUCGUGCCGCCGCGACACCCCUUUUGAAGUUUGACCUCGAAUCAGGUAGGGUUACCCGCUGAACUUAA
rnacentral:misc_RNA from 1 species